CAGCCCUGAAAAUGGAUGGCGCUGGAGCGUCCCACUUAUUCCGGACCGCUUGGGCAAUGAGAGCUUCAAGNCCAAGCGAGUAGGAGGGCCGCCGUUGUGAGCGCCGAAGCCUGGGACGUGAGUCUGGGUGGAGCCGCCACGGGCGCAGAUCUUGGUGGUAGUAGCAAAUAUUCANNCGAGAACUUUGAAGGCCGAGAAGAAA
rnacentral:rRNA from 1 species